rnacentral:lncRNA from 1 species
CCUGUGAAAGUUAGCGAAUGUGGGGGUUGUGAGGCUGUGAAUAGAACAUGCAAGGAUUCUCCAAAACCACUUGCUGGUUUACAAAUCAACUUCAUUGCCUUACACCAAGUGGCAGUAUGACAGAGACCUGGUUAAACAUCUCAUGGGAUACAUGCUGUGCAGACUAAGUGCUUGCUGUCAGUAGCCCCCAAAACACUGAUGGAAACAUACUAACGCUGUAUAAUCAUUGUAUGGCUUAUAAUAGUUAAAAAUAUAUGUGGUAGAAAAGUAGAAAUUCUUACCUAUGUAUGUUCAUCAGCUUUUUUCCUGCCUUCAAGCCCUAAGUCAUUAGUAGACAAAUUGUCCUGCAGCAGAGUGAAGAAAUAGCAAUAAUGUCAGCCAGAGGCCUUUAAAAUGGUGUGACUACUGAACUCAGGGUGAACCAGCAGCUUGUUAAGGUGCAAGAACCAUCCUCAGUGUGAAUGCACAAUGUUGAUAGGCUUGAACUACAAGCAGAGGUAAUGCACAUUGCAACCCAGACAGCAGAUGAGCAUGAAACAUCUGGAAAGGGCAGCGGGCCCCCGAGGAGAGCUCGUCUGAAACUACACAUGGCCCAGAAGGCACUGGAUUAACCUGGCUGUUAUCAGUAUGGUCCAGGAAGGGAGGAGGCUCAAGCCAUUUGGAAAAAUAAAAAUAAACAUAGAGAGAUUCAGAUAUCAGAUGCAAUUUGCAUUUGGUCAUUUGCCAGCCAUCUCAAGUGUGAAUUUUCAUUGCCCUUCCCUGUGAGCAACUGUGCACUUGUGCAACAUUAACUGCCUAAAUCUGCAGUAUUCCUGUGUUGAAUGAGGGUACCCACAGAGUAAGCACAUAAAACCUAGUUCAUGUUAGGUGACCCCAGGUUUAAUGUUUCUUGCCUUCAGAGAUGCUGCAGGUGUGGUUCUCAAAUCAAGCCUAAGCUUUCUGGAGAGCUGUCAGAGUGCCAUUGAAGGCUGUGCUGCAGCAGGGUCUGCUGCAAUGGAGACAGGUGUUUGUUUGGCCAGUCCAGGCUACUGAGCACAGUGAUCCAAGCUUUCCUGUCCUAAUGUCAGCCCAUGUGCAGGCAAUGGGGCUGGAACAACAUUCUUCACUGAGAACAGAGGGCCUGCAAAACUUAGGUUUAAUGAGAAAGGUACACUUCUGUGCAAAAUGAAGGACAAGCAUUUGUAAAAUGGUGGUUUACAUCUUCCAGGAAAAUGACAUUUCCACACAAGGUCAGCUGUAGCAGUGAAAGCUGAAUUAGCUUUCCUCACAAUAUGCCAUGUUCCAUCGUGGAGUGUUCAAAUGAUUACUUAGUUAUAAUUUAAAUAAAACAUAUAUUUGAAGACA